rnacentral:rRNA from 1 species
UACGGGGGGGCAAGCGUUGUUCGGAAUUACUGGGCGUAAAGGGCUCGUAGGCGGCCAACUAAGUCAGACGUGAAAUCCCUCGGCUUAACCGGGGAACUGCGUCUGAUACUGGAUGGCUUGAAUCCGGGAGAGGGAUGCGGAGUUCCAGGUGUAGCGGUGAAAUGCGUAGAUAUCUGGAGGAACACCGGUGGCGAAGGCGGCAUCCUGGACCGGUAUUGACGCUGAGGAGCGAAAGCCAGGGGAGCAAACGGG